rnacentral:rRNA from 1 species
UACAGAGGUCUCAAGCGUUGUUCGGAUUCAUUGGGCGUAAAGGGUGCGUAGGCGGCGCGGUAAGUCGGGUGUGAAAUCCCAGGGCUCAACCCUGGAACUGCCUUUGAUACUGUCGAUCUGGAGUAUGGAAGAGGUGAGUGGAAUUCCGAGUGUAGAGGUGAAAUGCGUAGAUAUCCGGAGGAACACCAGUGGCGAAAGCGGCUCUCUGGGGGCAACCUGACGCUGAGGCGCGAAAGCGUGGGUAGCGAACCGG